rnacentral:rRNA from 1 species
UUGUAUCAGAGUGGUCAUUUGAUUUUGGUUCAAGCUGUGCUCUCGGCCAUGCCAAUCUUUCAUCUCAUGUCUUUGGAUCAGGCGCCGUGGGUGUUCAAGGCCACCGAUAAAAUCAAGAGAGGAUUUCUAUGGAAGGGGACCGAGACGGCGAAUGGUGUACAUUGCUUGGUUAGAUGGAAGCAAGUUUGCAGAUCAAAGAAGUAUGGUGGUCUUGGCAUUCUGGACCUGAAGAUUAUGAAUUCUGCACUCAAACUAAAAUGGGCAUUGAAGGUUCGUACAACUACAGACUGUUCUUGGAGCAUCAUGUUGAACCCAUUGGAGAGCCAUGAAAGGCAGCUCUUCAAUGCCGCGGCAAAGGUGGAACUAGGAAAUGGGGAGCGAUGUUCUUUUUGGACGGAUAGGUGGAUUCAAGGUGCUACAGUUACAUACAUUGCUCCAGAUUUAGUUAUUGCCAUUCCUGAGGUUGUCAGAGAUAGAAGAACCGUCAUGGAUGCUAUGAUAGAUGGAGCUUGGAUUAGAGACAUAAACGAGCAAAUACCUAUCCGCACCUUCCAUCAGGUGUUAGCCUUGUGGGGGGUCGUCACUAAUAUCCAACUCGAUUCCGGUGGGGCCGAUAAGUGGACGUGA